rnacentral:lncRNA from 1 species
CCGCCCUGCGCGCUAACCCAAGACGGGAGCUCGAGAGCUUGAUCCUGCGCGAGUUUACAGACUGCCCUCUUCCCUUUUUGCAUCGAAGACCACGACUCCCAAGAGGUAAUGCGUCGGCCCGGGACUACAUCUCCCGGCAUGCAUCGCCGGCGGGUCCGCGAGUUCUCACCAUCGCAGCUGGACUAUUAGCGGGGGCCCUAGCGCUCUUGUGGUUUGUUUCGGCAGUAUCUGAAUGUCAGCUUUUGGCACUUCUGGUCGCUCUGAGCCUCCUACUCGCAUUCCUGGAGCAAGGUGCUUUCCAGGCCUCAUGGAGGUGGAGGAGCUGAGGAAGCUCGAGAAGAUGGAUAGAAGUGGGAAAUGGAGCUAGCGUACGGGAGAGGGAAAUGGCUGGAAUAUUCGUCAAUCUGUGGUGCUUUACUGGAGAUUUGCAGGAGUUCAGAGGAAGGGGGCAUUGAAUUUCAUAACCUAAACCGUAUCGUGGUUUACCAGAAAGUUUUGACCCGUGAUUCCGGUUUUAAAGGCUGAGUAGGGCCGGGCGCGGUGGUUCACGCCAGUAAUCCCAGCAGUUUAGGAGGCCAAGGCAGGCGGAUCACCUGAGGUCAGGGGUUGGAGAUAAACCUGGCCAACGUGGUGAAACCUCGUCUUUAGUAAAAAAUACAAAAAUUAGCCAGGUUUUGUGGCACAUGCCUGUAAUCCUAGCUACUCGAAAGGCUGAGGCAUGAGAAUCGCUUGAACUCAGGAGGAGGUUGCAGCCAACCGAGAUCUCGCCGCUGUACUCCAGCCUGGGCGACAGAGCGAGACUGUGUCAAAACAACACCACAAGCUAGCUGAGUAGGGAUUCUUGGGCGAAGUGGAAGACAUUAUAAGCAAAUAGGGUAGUAUGGGCAUGGAAACGAACUACAUGAUUAAAGAUUAGUAUUAUCUGGCGAGGGAGGAAAAGUGCCAGAGCAAGUGCCGAAACUGGAAGGUUACAUUUAGUUCAGGAUAUGAAGAUCAUAUAAGGCCUGCACGGUGGCUCACACCUGUAAUCCCAGCACUUUGGGAAGCCAAGGUGGGGGAGGAUCGCUUGAGCUCAGGAGUUGGAGACCAGCCUGGGCAACAUAGUGGGACCCCAUAUCUCAAAAAAAAAAAAAAAAAAAAUAAGCUGGGCGUGGUGGCUUGUGCCUGUGGUCUCAGCUAUCCCGGAGGCUGAGGUGGGAGGACUGCUUGAGCUCAGGACGUCAAGGCUGCAGUGAGCUAUGAUGGGCCACUGCACUCCAGCCUGGGCUACAGAGUGAGACCUUGUCUCAAAAGACAAGCGACAACAACAAAACAUGUAAGG